AAUGAAGUCCCUGGCAGAAAGUAAAUACUCCACUAAUAAAAAGUCGCAAAAGAACUGCAGUUCCUUGGAGGAUAUAUUCCUGAUAUAACGGAUACUCUGUGAAUGCUGUUCCUUCCUCAGGUGUGUCAUCAACUUCCAAGCAUUUCAGGAGAACUCCUCUGCGUGGCCUCCCUGAGAGCCAGGUCAAGGGGGCUGUGAAGCUCACACAAGCCUUGUCCCAUGAGAGAGAAUGCAAACAGCUGAAGUACAUUGCACCUGGUCCUUGAAUAAACGUACAGUCCAGGAAGUGCCCCACCAGGUCUUGAUGGCAUAUAGUGAAGAGACUGAUUACCUCCCAGGAGGUCUGCAUAAAGAUCCUGAGAGGAACACAUGGAGAAUUCCAAUAGAGUGGAAGCUUCCUGAGG
rnacentral:lncRNA from 10 species